CCCUUAGAUGUCCUGGGCUGCACGCGCGCUACACUGGAAGUUACGGAUUGAGAUACUACCUUGUCCGAAAUGGUCCGGGUAAUCACCUAAAAGCUUGUCAUAAUUGGAAUGGAUUAUUGUAACUAGUAAUCCUGAACGAGGAAUUCCUAGUAAGUCCCAGUUAACAGCUGGUACUGAUUACGUCCCUGCCCUUUGUACACACCGCCCGUCGCUACUACUGAUUGGACGUUUAAGCAAGAUUUUUAAACACUGACAGUGUGUAGUUCACGCUAUACUACAGUGAGAAGAAGAAGAUCGAGCUUACUUGUCUAGAGGAAGUAAAAGUCGUAACA
rnacentral:rRNA from 1 species